rnacentral:lncRNA from 1 species
AAAUUCAAAUUUAAAUUCUACAUUUUAAAUUUAAAUAAAAAUAAAAUUUAAAAUUUAAAAUUUAAAAUAUAAAGUCACAAAUUUGAAUUUAAGAAUUUUAUGUUGAAUUUAAAUUUACAAAUAAAAUCCAUAAUGUGAUCAUGACAUUAAUCCAAAUUUAAGAUGAAAUUUAACAUUAAAAAUAAAUUCAAAGAUUAAAGUUAAGACUAAAUAUAAUCUCUUAUCAAAGCUCUCCACUUUCAUAGACUUUUAUAAAGUGACCUUUAUAUUUAUUUUCACAAAUCAAAAAACUGAUAAGAUGUCACUUUUCAAAAGUGUCACUUUCGGUGCUUCACUUUCGGCCAACCGAACAUACCCUAAUAGAUAAUAACUAAAUAUAUUAAUUAGAUUAACUAAUAAUUCAAUACCAUAAUUAAAAUUAGAGUUAGGCUUUAAUUAAGCUUAUUCUCAAUUGAAAAUAAGCUUGUUUCAGUUAGGGGCCUGGAAGAGCUGUUUCAAGACUACAAAUUUAUUCCCGGCUGCGUUUGGUUGGGAAACAAGCGGCGGAUAAGCUCUUGUUGCCCCUUUCGUUCCCAAAUGCUGCGUUUGGUACUCGAUAACAGUAGUUUUUGAAUUUUUGGAAUAAACUGGUAUAAGGCUGGAACUACUGUUCUACCCUUUUUCUAGAACAAGCUUGUUCCCAGAUAGAAACGAGGUUAAUUAAAGUCUAAAUUUUAUUUUAAUUAUGAUAUUUAAUUAUUAAUUAAUAUAAUUAAUAUAUUUAAAUUAUUAUUUAUUGCUUAAAUAUUAAAAUAAUUAAUUAAUUUAUUAUUUAUAAUUAAUUAUUAAUAACUUAAUGUAUUUAUCCAUAAACUAAUAUUUAUAUUGAGCAAUAAUUAAUAUUUUUAGGGAAAACUUCAAAUACCAUCCCUGUGAUUUCGCACUUUCUCACUUUAGUACUCUGUGGUUUAAAGUUUAUCAAGUUAGUACCCUGUGGUUUUGCACUUUCUUAAUUUAAUACCCUAUGAUUUCAAGUGUAUCAAGUUAGUACCAUGUGAUUUCAAUUUUGUAUCAAGUAAGUACCCUUCGGUUUCAAUUUUCUCUUUUUAUUAUCCAUUUCGGGGUAUAUAAUUUAACGAAAUAUUAAACCACAUAGUACUAAAGUGAGAAAGUGCGAAACCACAGGGUACUAACUUGAUACACUUGAAAUCACAGGGUACUAAAGUGAGAAAGUGCGAAACCACAGGAUACUAAUUUGAUACACUUUAAACCAUAGGAUACUAAUUAAGUAAGAAAGUGCGAAACUACGGGGGGUAUUUGAAGUUUCCCCAUAUUUUUAUUAAUCUAAUUAAUUUUUUUUUACUAGUUAUCUAGCUAAAAUAAUUUACUAACUAAUUAAAAAGUUAAAUUAUUUUUAUAUUUAUAAUAAAUAUAUUUUUAUUAUCUUAUACAACAUUCAUAGCUAAUAAAUUUAUUAAUUUAUUAAAUUAUUUUUAAAUAAUAUUUUUAUGUAAUUAAUUUGUAAUACACUGAACUUUUGCAAUUUGCGGAGUUCGAGUGUGUGGAAUGAUAUGCGGAACCUUCCUACAUAUUCUAAAGGGGUUUAAAGAUGUUUAUGAAUAAGUUUGAGAGUGAUCGGAUUGUCGGAGAUAAGAAAGUGCAUUGCUCCUACGAAUUGGGCCAUUUUUGCAUUGUGUACCGGUACAGGCAUUACGUUGUACC